rnacentral:rRNA from 1 species
ACGCUUGGCGGCGCGCCUAACACAUGCAAGUCGAACGAGCGAGAGAGAGCUUGCUUUCUCGAGCGAGUGGCGAACGGGUGAGUAACGCGUGAGGAACCUGCCUCAAAGAGGGGGACAACAGUUGGAAACGACUGCUAAUACCGCAUAAGCCCACGACCCGGCAUCGGGUAGAGGGAAAAGGAGCAAUCCGCUUUGAGAUGGCCUCGCGUCCGAUUAGCUAGUUGGUGAGGUAAUGGCCCACCAAGGCGACGAUCGGUAGCCGGACUGAGAGGUUGAACGGCCACAUUGGGACUGAGACACGGCCCAGACUCCUACGGGAGGCAGCAGUGGGGAAUAUUGCACAAUGGGGGAAACCCUGAUGCAGCGACGCCGCGUGGAGGAAGAAGGUCUUCGGAUUGUAAACUCCUGUUGUUGAGGAAGAUAAUGACGGUACUCAACAAGGAAGUGACGGCUAACUACGUG